rnacentral:rRNA from 1 species
AUUGAACGCUGGCGGCAGGCCUAACACUUGCAAGUCGAGCGGAUGAAGGGAGCUUGCUCCUGGAUUCAGCGGCGGACGGGUGAGUAAUGCCUAGGAAUCUGCCUGGUAGUGGGGGAUAACGUCCGGAAACGGGCACUAAUACCGCAUACGUCCUGAGGGAGAAAGUGGGGGAUCUUCGGACCUCACGCUAUCAGAUGAGCCUAGGUCGGAUUAGCUAGUUGGUGGGGUAAAGGCCUACCAAGGCGACGAUCCGUAACUGGUCUGAGAGGAUGAUCAGUCACACUGGAACUGGGACACGGUCCAGACUCCUACGGGAGGCAGCAGUGGGGAAUAUUGGACGAUGGGCGAAAGCCUGAUCCAGCCAUGCCGCGUGUGUGAAGAAGGUCUUCGGAUUGUAAAGCACUUUAAGUUGGGAGGAAGGGCAGUAAGUUAAUACCUUGCUGUUUUGACGGUACCAACAGAAUAAGCACCGGCUAACUUCGUG